GACGAACGCUGGCGGCGUGCUUAACACAUGCAAGUCGAACGGAAAGGCCCUGCUUUUGUGGGGUGCUCGAGUGGCGAACGGGUGAGUAACACGUGAGUAACCCGCCCUUGACUUUGGGAUAACUUCAGGAAACUGGGGCUAAUACCGGAUAGGAGCUCUUGCUGCAUGGUGGGGGUUGGAAAGAUUCGGCGGUUGGGGAUGGACUCGCGGCUUAUCAGCUUGUUGGUGGGGUAGUGGCUGACCACGGCUUUGACGGGUAGCCGGCCUGAGAGGGUGACCGGCCCCGUUGGGACUGAGAUACGCACCAGACUCCUACGGGCGGCAGCAGUCGGGAAUAUUGCACAGUAGGCGCACGCCUGAUGCGACAGCGCCGCGUGCGUAAUGCCGGCCUUCGAGUUGUAAACCACUUUCGCCUGUGACGAAGCGUGAGUGACGGUAAUGGAUAAAGAAGCACCGGCUAACUACGUG
rnacentral:rRNA from 1 species